CUUCUGCAUCCACAGAGGAACCUCCCACCACCAGAGAGCUGUAAGGUGAGAAGCCAUGAAGCCACCAAGGUGGAGAGGUCAGAAGAGUCGGGGACAAAGGCUGCCACUGGUGGCCUCUUGUAUGUAGUCUGGAAGAGACCCAACAAAAGGCGAGGUCAGAGGCGGCAGGGGAUGGCCACACCCCUGGCUAAGCUGUUGAGAUGAGGUUCUUGCCCUUGUUGCUCUCUGGAGUUGUCCUGUCUGCCGCAGCCCCCUUACCACUCACGCUGAGUAUCCCAAAGGGCGGAGUUAUCUGAAACUGCCCACACACAAGGAAUAUCCAGGGUAAUUAUUAUGUGGCGCUAACAGAGCAAGUCGAGUAUGUUUUCCAGAUCUAGACUUUCCCUAUGACAACUUCAGACUGGGGCUGCUGAGACGUGUCAGCAAGCAAGAGUGCUUUCUGUGUAAGCAAGGAGGACCUACAUUUGAAGCUCCCUGUAAAAACUGGGCUCGGCUGCCUGAGUUUUAGCCCAUCUUAGGGGACAGGGAGAUCCUGGGAGCCAGCCAGCUUACCUGAAAUGUAAAUAAAUACGGUAGAAAGUGCUAGAAGACAACACCUGAUGUCUUUCUCUGGCCUCUGCAUACUAGCCCCUGUACCCACCCCACAGAUAGACAACCUGAGGCUAGCAAGCACACACAACUGUGUCCCAGCCUCUGUUCACACUGAAGUCCUGGUGCUUUCUCUGGAUUUACUUUUGAGAGCAGUGCAGUUCCAGUUUUCCUUGAAUUAGUCAGAUGAUUUGUUUCAAAAACAUUUCCUUGUGAUUAGGUUCUAACGUUUAACUUCCAUUUCCAUUAGAAACAUGGCCAUUUAUGCUCAGAAACCAAAGCAUAUGUGUGCCUUCCGUCUAUCAGAAGCUAGGAUCAGGGAAAUGGCCACUUUCCACUUGUUUAUUCUGACAGUUUGUGCAUCUUCCUUGAGUUGAUAGAUUAAAAGCCUAGGUGUCCUGACUUUUUGGUCAAGGUCUUCUCCAGGAAUUGUGGAUACAGAAGGCCCCACAGGACUGGCUUUUGAGUAUUCUUUGUGAGGGAAGGAGUACAUACCUUUUGGUUAGUGAAUGCUCUAAAGCACUGUCUCACAGCAUUACUUUAAAAUUAAGAUGCUUCUAAUUAUGUUGAUAACUUCUCCAAUGAAGAAAACCUUACCUGCAAAUUAAAGAAAUUAAGAACCAACAGUAGAAAAUGCCAAGAUGUUUUUUGUGCUAUAUAGUAAGUUAACUUUUAAAUUUUGCAUUUUUGAUCAAAUUAUGUACACUGUAUUGAAGCCAACAAACCUGAAAGAAUGAAUUUGCAAAAUUGGAUUUAAUUCAGAUCUCAAGAGGGCAAGGGAGGACAUUGUGAUAAUCCUUAAGUACAGAAUCCUAAUCAAUGCUAGACAAACAAUGUAUUAGUUUACAUAUAAUAGGCUAACCACACAUUUGAAGGCUCUGAUUGAGUCCAUCAGCAAUAAGUACAAUUUCAUAUUUGGCUCAAGUGGCUACUGAACAUCAAGCAGUGUCCAAGUUCCUUCUCACACCUAAAGACCCAUUUGGCUAUGGAGGAAGUUCCCCACAGUCUCAGAAGCCUCCACUCAUCCCUUCAACUCUUUUGGCCUUGAGAGUCUCUGCUCCCCAAAACACAAAUACAGUCCUGGGAUUUCCAGCACAUGUUAUUGCACGGAAUGGUCUGUCCUAAGCCAGACUCUUAUGGCUGAGAAGGUGUGAGACCAGCCCUUAGAGACAGUGGUCUAGCAUUAACGUGGCCUAUAAAAGCAUAGCAAGAGAUAGCUGCUUACUCUAUCUACACCAGCUUCUAGUGUUCAGGCUGACAGAAGAGGCAACACGCAGCUUCACAUUUCACACGGAAGACUAGCACUGGCUGGGCCUGGCUUGCUGGAUCGACUCUCCCAUAAACAUAGUGAUGGUUUUAGCUUAGACCCAGGAGAAAAUUACUUCAUACCAGUCUUUUCUUCACAUAAGGUUUGUGUAGCAUUAAAAUUGUUACAGACGAAUGACUUGCCAUAAAGGCAAAAAAUGUCUUAACUCUCCUUUGCCCAAAAAGAAACAUCCCUGUUUUGAAUCUUGUCCAGUUUCCCCAAAGAAAACAUACAUACACCUUGGUUAUUGCACAUCUAUUAGACAGACUUGUGUAUGUGUAAUAUAUACACUUAAAUAUGCUACACAUAAAAGAGAGUAUGGCACUUUACAGAAUACAUGGUUAACAAAGGCCAUUCACUAUACCACAGAUACUUCAAAGACCCUUCCACAGUUAUAAAUGUAACGUUGAAUUACCACACAGGUCUAAAGGAGCCACAGACUCCCAAGUGUUUCUGCUUUAGAGUUCAAUGAGAAGCUGAGCACAAACGCAGACAAAAGACGACUUUUCGGGUAGUGAUGGCCCCAUUAUCGAGAAAUGGUAGUGGCCAGCAAGUGGUUUUAAAGAGCCAGGAGCAAAGUUUCAUUCUAUAUUGGCACAACUGUAGAUGGUCCUUUCAUUCCCUGUAAAAGUCUGUGUAUUGGUUUGAAGGU